GACGAACGCUGGCGGCGUGCUUAACACAUGCAAGUCGAACGGAAAGGCCCGGCUUUUUGGGGGUGCUCGAGGGGCGAACGGGGGAGUAACACGUGAGUAACCUGUCCUUGACUGUGGGAUAACUUCAUGAAACUGGGGCUAAUACCGGCUAGGAGUUCCUGCUUCAUGGUGGGGGCUGGAAAGUUUCGGCGGUUGGUGAUGGACUCGCGGCUCAUGAGCUUGUUGGUGGGGUAGUGGCUUACCAAGGCUUUGACGGGUAGCCGGCCUGAGAGGGUGACCGGCCACAUUGGGACUGAGAUACGGCCCAGACUCCUACGGGAGGCAGCAGUGGGGAAUAUUGCACAAUGGGCGGAAGCCUGAUGCAGCAACGCCGCGUGCGGGAUGACGGCCUUCGGGUUGUAAACCGCUUUCGCCUGUGACGAAGCGUGAGUGACGGUAAUGGGUAAAGAAGCACCGGCUAACUACGUG
rnacentral:rRNA from 1 species